rnacentral:lncRNA from 1 species
UAUUAUUAUAAACUUUUUCUUUGAUCAUAACGCAUAUUCUAUAAUACUAAAGUUCUUAUUAUUUUUUAUGAUAUGAUUUUGAACUAGGCUAAUAUACUAUUAAUAACACCAAAUUAUUGGAGCUACAAAGUUUUUGGCCAUUGGAUUAAGAGAUGUGCGGUUAGAAUGAUACGGACCUUCUAGGGUUGAGUGGGUGGUUCCUUGAAUAGUAUGAUCUGACGGAUGAAAAUGAUUAAAAGGGUAGAUCUAAUGGCGAAAAACUUGGUAGCAUCAGUGCUUCAUGCUAUUAAUAGCAUAGUAGCCGAAUUCUAUGAUUUUUAUGUCAUUCAUUUUGUGUCAUAUUUUUAUCUAACUCUAGUUCAACUAAAAUUCUAUUUCAAGUUAGAAUGUGUUAGAGUAAAAGAUUAUUUUUAGGUGUAUUUUUUUUUUGAUAAAAAUUUUAAAAUAAAAAAGGCUAUUUU